rnacentral:rRNA from 1 species
GACGAACGCUGGCGGCGUGCUUAACACAUGCAAGUCGAACGGUAAGGCUCCAGCUUUCUGGGGUACACGAGUGGCGAACGGGUGAGUAACACGUGGGUGACCUGCCCUGCACUUCGGGAUAAGCCUGGGAAACUGGGUCUAAUACCGGAUAGGACCUCCUUGUGGAUGCUGUGGGGGGGAGUUUUUGCGGUGUGGGAUGGGCCCGCGGCCUAUCAGCUUGUUGGUGGGGUAUUGGCCUACCAAGGCGGCGACGGGUAGCCGGCCUGAGAGGGUGGACGGCCACAUUGGGACUGAGACACGGCCCAGACUCCUACGGGAGGCAGCAGUGGGGAAUAUUGCACAAUGGGCGGAAGCCUGAUGCAGCGACGCCGCGUGGGGGAUGACGGCCUUCGGGUUGUAAACUGCUUUCGCCUUCGACGAAGGGUUUCUGACGGUAGAUGGAGAAGAAGCACCGGCUAACUACGUG